rnacentral:lncRNA from 1 species
UCCAGUUUUAUUCUGAGGGAUGAUCCAGUCACUGUUGGAGGCACAUAGCCAUGGCAAAUCUCACGCUGUACAUUGAUCACCUGUCCAACCUUUGCCUAGAGUGUGAUCCCCAGUUCCUUCAAGAGUUCCAUCUUUACCUGUCUAUAAAGAGGAGGAGGAGGAGGAGGAGGAGGAGGAGAGACAUCUGGGAUAACCACAUAUCAAAGAUUAACACCAGAGCAGUUGCCAGAGGAGCUGGAGAAAGAGGAGGAAAAAAUGCAGCACUGCAGAAUUAAGCUGAUAAUCUAUUGCAGUGGAUCUCCAAACAUAACCAUGACAUCCUGGAGCAG